GCUAGGCGUGGUGGCGCAGGCCUGUAAUCCUUGCUACUUGGGAGGCUGAGGUGGGAGAAUCACUUGAGCCCAGGAGGAACAGGUUGCAGUUAGCUAUGUUCAUGCCACUGCACUCUAGCCUGGGCAACAGAGUGAGACCCCUCCUCAA
ensembl:misc_RNA Metazoa_SRP Metazoan signal recognition particle RNA